rnacentral:rRNA from 1 species
AUACGUAGGGUGCAAGCGUUAAUCGGAAUUAUUGGGCGUAAAGCGCGCGCAGGUGGUUCCUUAAGUCUGAUGUGAAAGCCCCCGGCUCAACCGGGGAGGGUCAUUGGAAACUGGGGAACUUGAGUGCAGAAGAGGAUAGUGGAAUUCCAAGUGUAGCGGUGAAAUGCGUAGAGAUUUGGAGGAACACCAGUGGCGAAGGCGACUGUCUGGUCUGUAACUGACACUGAGGCGCGAAAGCGUGGGGAGCAAACAGGAUUAGAUACCCUGGUAGUCCACGCCGUAAACGAUGAGUGCUAAGUGUUGGGGGGUUUCCGCCCCUCAGUGCUGCAGCUAACGCAUUAAGCACUCCGCCUGGGGAGUACGGUCGCAAGACUGGAACUCAAAGGAAUUGACGGGG